CCCUUAGAUGUUCUGGGCCGCACGCGCGCUACACUGACACGUUCAUCAAGUCUAUAACCUUGACCGAGAGGUCUGGGUAAUCUUUUAAAAACGUGUCGUGCUGGGGAUAGAUUAUUGAAAUUAUUAAUCUUCAACGAGGAAUUCCUAGUAAACGCAAGUCAUCAACUUGCAUUGAUUACGUCCCUGCCCUUUGUACACACCGCCCGUCGCUACUACCGAUUGAAUGAUUUAGUGAGUACCAGGGACCGAGCGCUUUGGUUGGGUUUCCUUCCCUAGCGCUUGGGAACUGUCGCAAACUUGACCAUUUAGAGGAAGUAAAAGUCGUAACA
rnacentral:rRNA from 1 species